rnacentral:lncRNA from 13 species
UCACAAUACAGUGCAGUUUUGAAGUCUCGUGAUGAAACUGUCCGACGUAGUCCUACAAAUUUGGAUUUAAAUACUAACCAAACUUUACAACGCAGUGCGAUUUUAAAUGUUAAAUCUCACGAGAAAAAUGUCCGACGUAGUCCUACAAAUUUGGAUUUAAAUACUAACCGAGUUUCACAAUACAGUGCACUUUUGAAGUCUCGUGACGAAAAUGUCCGACGUAGUCUUACAAAAAUUGUAACAAAGAUUUUAUAAGUAAUUACGUCUCGCAUCAUACAAAUUUAGAUGUAACUUCUGACCAAGGUUAGUAAUGUCUAUUUGCUUUUUUAUUUGCAUACAA